CCUACGGGUGGCUGCAGUGGGGGAUAUUGCACAAUGGGGGAAACCCUGAUGCAGCGACGCCGCGUGUGGGAAGACGGUCCUCUGGAUUGUAAACCACUGUCCCCAGGGACGAAGAUGAGGGGACCUGGGGAGGAAGCGCGGGCUAACUACGUGCCAGCAGCCGCGGUAAAACGGUGGGAGCAAGCGUUGUCCGGAAUUCCUGGGUGUAAAGGGAGCGUAGGGGGGCUGGCAAGUUGGGUGUUAAAUCUACCGGCUCAACUGGUAGUCGCACUCAAAACUGCUAUUCUUGAGUGAAGUAGAGGCCGGCGGCAUUCCUCGUGUAGCGGUGAAAUUCGUAGAUAUUAGGAGGAACACCAGUGGCGACGGCGGCCUGCUGGGCUUUUACUGACGCUGAGGCUCGAAAGUGUGGGGAGCAAACAGGAUUAGAUACCCUUGUAGUC
rnacentral:rRNA from 1 species